UACAGAGGGGGCAAGCGUUGUUCGGAAUUACUGGGCGUAAAGGGCGCGUAGGCGGCCUUCUAAGUCGAACGUGAAAUCCCCGGGCUCAACCCGGGAACUGCGUCCGAUACUGGAAGGCUUGAAUCCGAGAGAGGGAUGCGGAAUUCCAGGUGUAGCGGUGAAAUGCGUAGAUAUCUGGAGGAACACCGGUGGCGAAGGCGGCAUCCUGGACCGGUACUGACGCUGAAGCGCGAAAGCGUGGGGAGCAAAGCGGG
rnacentral:rRNA from 1 species